CCUACGGGUGGCAGCAGUGGGGAAUUUUGGACAAUGGGCGCAAGCCUGAUCCAGCCAUUCCGCGUGAGUGAAGAAGGCCUUCGGGUUGUAAAGCUCUUUCGCAAGGGAAGAAAACUUAUCCUCUAACAUAGGAUGAGGUUGACGGUACCUUGAUAAGAAGCACCGGCUAACUACGUGCCAGCAGCCGCGGUAAUACGUCGGGUGCGAUCGUUAAUCGGCGUUACUGGGCGUAUUUGUUGGGCAGACUGGUAAUCCCCGAGCUCAACUUGGGAACUGCGUUUGAAACUACAAGACUAGAAUAGGUCAGAGGGGGGUAGAAUUCCACGUGUAGCAGUGAAAUGCGUAGAGAUGUGGAGGAAUAUCAAUGGCGAAGGCAGCCCCCUGGGAUCAUAUUGACGCUCAUGCACGAAAGCGUGGGGAGCAAACAGGAUUAGAUACCCUAGUAGUC
rnacentral:rRNA from 1 species